rnacentral:rRNA from 1 species
GACGAACGUUGGCGGCGUGCCUAAUGCAUGCAAGUCGAACGAGGGACUCUUUCCGGGUAACCGGAGGGAGUCACCUAGUGGCGAACGGGUGAGUAACACGUGAGAAACCUGCCCCGGAGACCGGAAUAGCCCAGGGAAACUUGGAUUAAUGCCGGAUGUCCUCGGAUGGUCGCAUGGUCGACCGAGGAAACAGUCCGCUGCUCCGGGAUGGUCUCGCGGCCUAUCAGCUAGUUGGCGGGGUAACGGCCCACCAAGGCGACGACGGGUAGCUGGUCUGAGAGGACGAUCAGCCACACUGGGACUGAGACACGGCCCAGACUCCUGCGGGAGGCAGCAGCAGGGAAUUUUGCACAAUGGACGGAAGUCUGAUGCAGCGACGCCGCGUGGGGGAUGAAGGCCUUCGGGUUGUAAACCCCUUUCAGGAGGGACGAAGCAAAAGUGACGGUACCUCCAGAAGAAGCCCCGGCCAACUACGUGCCAGCAGCCGCCGUAA